GGGGGGAGGUCGGAUCCUGGGCUGUGUCCCCCGCGCCCAGUGCUCCCGGGCGCUGGAUUCGGGCUCCCGGCCGGGCAGCCCCUU
rnacentral:pre_miRNA from 1 species